AGUGAACGCUGGCGGUAGGCCUAAAACAUGCAAGUCGACCGGCAGCACAGUAAGAGCUUGCUCUUACGGGUGGCGAGUGGCGGACGGGUGAGGAAUAAAUAGGAAUCUACUUUUUCGUGGGGGAUACCGUAGAGAAACUUACGCUAAUGCCGAAUACUACCAACGGGUGAAAGAAGGGUGUCUUAGGACCUUGCGCGAUUGAAUGAGCCGAUGUCGGAUUAAUUAGUUGGUGGGGUAAAGGACCAACAAGGCGACGAACCGUAGCUGGACUGACAGGAGGAUCAGCCAAACUGGGACUGGGACACCGGCCAGACUCCCAAGGGGAGGAACAGUGGGGAAUAUUGCACAAUGGGCGGAAGCCUGAUCCAGCCAAACCGCGUGGGUGAAGAAGGCCUUCGGGUUGUAAAGCCCUUUUUUUGGGGAAGAAAAAAAGGUGGAAAAAACCCCGCUGUUCUGACGGGACCCAAAGAAUAAGCCCCGGCUAACUUCGGG
rnacentral:rRNA from 1 species